rnacentral:rRNA from 1 species
AUUGAACGCUAGCGGCAUGCCUUACACAUGCAAGUCGAACGGCAGCGGGGGAGCUUGCUCCCGCCGGCGAGUGGCGAACGGGUGAGUAAUACAUCGGAACGUACCCAGUAGCGGGGAUAGCCCGGCGAAAGCCGGAUUAAUACCGCAUACGCCCUACGGGGGAAAGGGGGGGAUCGCAAGACCUCUCACUAUUGGAGCGGCCGAUGGCUGAUUAGCUAGUUGGUGGGGUAAAGGCCUACCAAGGCGACGAUCAGUAGCUGGUCUGAGAGGACGACCAGCCACACUGGGACUGAGACACGGCCCAGACUCCUACGGGAGGCAGCAGUGGGGAAUUUUGGACAAUGGGCGAAAGCCUGAUCCAGCAAUGCCGCGUGUGCGAAGAAGGCCUUCGGGUUGUAAAGCACUUUUGUCAGGGAAGAAAUCGUUUGGGUUAAUACCCCGAGCAGUUGACGGUACCUGAAGAAUAAGCACCGGCUAACUACGUGCCAGCCGCCGCCGUAA